AAAAAUUAAACGCGACAAAAUCAUGUGUGAUCUCAAUAAUAUUUUAUAUCGUGUUAUCGUUGGGAAUGUAUUUUUGCAAUUGAAAUACAGAAAACUCGAGAUAUGCAAUUCAGAUGACCAUAGGCAGGCAAAAUAACAACAGUACAGGAGUUUACGCAAGUUGCAAGUUCAAGCGUUUUGUCUAACACUGGCUAUGGCGGUCAGAUCAACGUAUAUUUUCACAAAAAAAAAAUAUUCAAGAAGAAAGGGCAGGAAGUACCUAAUCACAAAAAGGGACAUGGAAUUCGCUUAAAUUCCAGACUCAGAUAAAAAAACAUCAAAGUUUAAAGGUUGCUGAGAUGCAGAAUCGAAAACUUGCUUGGCCAAAAUACUUUGCAUACUUUCGUAUCGCCGGCGCGUAGCUACCGGAGCGUAUUACAGUUUAAUUUUUUUAACACAUUUCAUUGAUUUAAUUUCCUUUGUCUACCUACUUUGCCCUUUAAAUAAUCAAGUGCAAAAUGUAAACAACCAGCAAUGGCCUCUUCUGAAAUCUCGGCGUGGUAUUAAUACAUAAAAAAUAGAAUUUAGGACUGGUUAAAUUCAAUAUUUUUUUUGUAAUUCUCGAUAUAUUCACAGUAAAUUACCUACUGCAUACAGUUCGCCCUGAAUAACUUUGCAAUUACGAUCAAUAAUAACUAACUACGAACAAAUUCACAAGGAGUCAAAUAGCCAACUUCACAAUUGCUAAGUUAGGUAGCUAUACUUAUUUGGCGCGAACU
rnacentral:lncRNA from 1 species